rnacentral:rRNA from 2 species
UACGAAGGGGGCUAGCGUUGUUCGGAAUUACUGGGCGUAAAGCGCACGUAGGCGGUUUUCCAAGUUGGAGGUGAAAUCCCUGGGCUUAACCCAGGAACUGCCCCCAAGACUGGGAGACUCGAGUCCGAGAGAGGUGAGUGGAAUUUCCAGUGUAGAGGUGAAAUUCGUAGAUAUUGGAAAGAACACCAGUGGCGAAGGCGGCUCACUGGCUCGGUACUGACGCUGAGGUGCGACAGCGUGGGGAGCAAACAGG